rnacentral:rRNA from 1 species
CCUACGGGUGGCAGCAGUGAGGAAUAUUGGUCAAUGGGCGCGAGUCUGAACCAGCCAAGUCGCGUGCGGGAUGACGGCUCUAUGGUUUGUAAACCUCUUUUAUAAGGGAAUAAAGUUCGCGACGUGUACCGCUUUGCAUGUACCUUAUGAAUAAGGAUCGGCUAACUCCGUGCCAGCAGCCGCGGUAAUACGGAGGAUCCGAGCGUUAUCCGGAUUUAUUGGGUUUAAAGGGUGCGUAGGCGGCUUUUUAAGUCAGCGGUGAAAGCCGGUGGCUCAACCAUAGAAUUGCCGUUGAUACUGGGGGGCUUGAGUAUAGUUGAGGCAGGCGGAAUGUGUGGUGUAGCGGUGAAAUGCAUAGAGAUCACACAGAACCCCGAUUGCGAAGGCAGCCUGCCAAGCCAUGACUGACGCUGAUGCACGAAAGCGUGGGGAGCGAACAGGAUUAGAUACCCUUGUAGUC